GUGAGUUUUUGGACAGGCUCAGAUUGAACGCUGGCGGCAGGCCUAACACAUGCAAGUCGAACGGUAGCACAGAGGAGCUUGCUCCUUGGGUGACGAGUGGCGGACGGGUGAGUAAUGUCUGGGAAACUGCCCGAUGGAGGGGGAUAACUACUGGAAACGGUAGCUAAUACCGCAUAACGUCGCAAGACCAAAGAGGGGGACCUUCGGGCCUCUUGCCAUCGGAUGUGCCCAGAUGGGAUUAGCUAGUAGGUGGGGUAACGGCUCACCUAGGCGACGAUCCCUAGCUGGUCUGAGAGGAUGACCAGCCACACUGGAACUGAGACACGGUCCAGACUCCUACGGGAGGCAGCAGUGGGGAAUAUUGCACAAUGGGCGCAAGCCUGAUGCAGCCAUGCCGCGUGUAUGAAGAAGGCCUUCGGGUUGUAAAGUACUUUCAGCGAGGAGGAAGGCGUUGUGGUUAAUAACCGCAGCGAUUGACGUUACUCGCAGAAGAAGCACCGGCUAACUCCGUGCCAGCAGCCGCGGUAAUACGGAGGGUGCAAGCGUUAAUCGGAAUUACUGGGCGUAAAGCGCACGCAGGCGGUCUGUCAAGUCGGAUGUGAAAUCCCCGGGCUCAACCUGGGAACUGCAUCCGAAACUGGCAGGCUAGAGUCUUAGUUGA
rnacentral:rRNA from 1 species